UACUCUAACACGCCACUUUUUCUCUGCCAAUGCUUUUACACUCUACAAAGUCUACACUACUUCUCAUUCUCUUUCUCUUUCUCUUUCUCUCUCCACUAAAGAAACUCCAUAAAAACUACAGUCCAUCUUCUCGAUCUGAAGCUUCCUCUAAUUUUUUUAUCUCAUCCGUUAAUUUAUUCAUUCAUAUCUAUUUGAAGAGCACAAAUUUGGUUGUCAUGUGUAGUUGAAUUGGGCUCAACUCGCAAAUCGUUGUAUGUAGAUCUAUUUUUCUCACUCGCUAGUAAGCAUAAAAUAUGAAGGAAAAGUUGUACUAUUACAUUUUGAAUUGAAAUGCUUGAAAACAUCUCAUGAAUUCAUGGUAGAGCGAGCAGGUCCCUCAAAAAUCAGUGGCUAAAAUCAAAGUGAAGAUACUAUAUAAUUCAGUUUGAUUGUUGUUGUCCUGAACAUGGAAAUUAUUAUACAUGAUUAUGAUAUAACAGGGAACCCACUAAUGCCCUCUGGAGCUGAUUCUUCUAUUGGAAAUGCAUUGCCAAUCAACAAAGUCAAGAGCAAACAUCUGCAGACCAAGACGUAGGGGGCCUCUUAUCACUCUGUUCUUUUAGGAUUACAUACAUGUCCUUUGUAGUUGAAAGUUGGUGACAUAUUUGUAAUUUACAAGUAUUAUCAUUUUUUAUAUUUUAUAAUUGAUAAUGUAAAUCGAUGUUGAUUAAAUUGGACCUUACGUGGUUUAGAUUAA